rnacentral:rRNA from 1 species
AUGGCGCCCUCGAGCCAGGCUGCUUCUAUCGUGAACGGCCAUGAGAUGGUGACCAAAGCCGAUGACAGAAGCACUCUGCAGGUGGCCGCCGGUGGCGCCGAUACUAGCGAGAAGUUUGCGCCCUCCGUGUGGGGUGACUUCUUUGUCACCUACGUCCCUCCUAUCUCACAGGUUAACAUGCGCGCGCACAUUAACUAUAUGCAUUAUCUUUCAAUGAUUUGA